rnacentral:tRNA from 1 species
GGCCGGUUAGCUCAGUUGGUUAGAGCGUGGUGCUAAUUAUGCAAAGGUCGUGGGUUCGAUACCCAUACUGGCCA